UACGAAUGUGGCUAGCGUUGCUCGGAAUCACUGGGCGUAAAGGGUGCGUAGGCGGGUCUUUAAGUCAGGGGGGAAAUCCUGGAGCUCAACUCCAGAACUGCCUUUGAUACUGAAGAUCUUGAGUUCGGGAGAGGUGAGUGGAACUGCGAGUGUAGAGGUGAAAUUCGUAGAUAUUCGCAAGAACACCAGUGGCGAAGGCGGCUCACUGGCCCGAUACUGACGCUGAGGCACGAAAGCGUGGGGAGCAAACAGG
rnacentral:rRNA from 1 species